CAUUGUGUAAUGAUCAAAUCAGGGUAACCAGCAAAUCCAUCACCCCAAACCUUGAUCAUUUCUUUGUGGUGAGAACAUUCAGACGUCUCUUGUCGCUGUUUGGAAACACACACCACGUUAUUGUUAACUGUCCUCACCCUGGGGACAGCAAGGAGGGCCGAAAGGAAGUGCAGGCUGCUGUGAGCGCCUUCAAGAGGGGGCAGCACUGAGCUCACCUGCGAGCCUAGGCCUGGAGAGCAGCUGGAGUCUCCAGCCCGAGGGGAGGCGGAGGAGGAAACUGCCUUGCAGGCAGAGGGAAGAGCAUGUGCGGAGGCCCCGAGGCAGAGCCUGGCAAUUCGUCGGCGGAACAGAUGCUGGAAGUGGGGAGGAGGAGGAGGAGGAACAGGAGGAGGUACGGGGGUCUGGGCCGCUGUAGAGAGCCGAGGCCUCUGAAGUCUCAGCACUAGGGCAGUGGGAAGCUGUUACAGGGUAGACGCCCGGGAUGUGGGAGGGGCUAUAUGAUAAUCUGGGAGGUUUUUUGUUUUUUUUUUUUUUUUUUUUUGAGAUGGAGUUUUGCUCUUGUUGCCCAAGCUGGAGUGCAAUGGCGUGAUCUCGGCUCACCGCAACCUCCGCCUCCCGGGUUCUAGUGAUUCUUCUGCCUCAGCCUCCCGUGUAGCUGGGAUUACAGGCAUGCGCCACCAUGCCCAGCUAAUUUUUGUACUUUUAGUAGAGACGGGGGUUUCACCUUGUUGGUCAGGCUGGUCUCGAACUCCCGACCAUAGAUGAUGCGCCCGCCUUGGCCUCCCAAAGUGCUGGGAUUGCAGGCGUGAGCCACUGCGCCCGGCCUGGGAGUUGUUCUGUAUUGUGGAGUAAAGGGAGGCAGAGGUGAAGCCAUCGAGAGAGCAGCGAGCUCAUCGCUCCCCACAUUCUAUUAAAAUGCACAUUCUCCCGGGAGGGGGUUUCCAGUUAAUGAAACAGGAAGCGAGGUCUGUUGAGCUUGCAACCAGCUGAGAGCAAUUUGAGGACAAAAGGGAAGGGCGGGAAGAAGCGGGAUCUCGGGAAGGUGGCAGGCAGGUGAGAGCCUGGCUGGCCCGUUCACGCCUGUCUGCCCCUGGUGGCCAGGACGGGAAGGUCAGAGGACAGGGUCGGAGGCGCCAACGCUCCUGGGGUCCCAGCUGCUGCAGAUCCGGGCUGGGGCUGGGCCUGGCCGCUGCUGGGGGCGGGAGGCAAUUCCCAGCCCCGGGCCGGUGACGUCAACGUUGUCAUGGAGACCCGGCUUCCCUGCCCAGCGUUGCAGCUGCGGGAGCCCGGGCUGGGAGGCUCUGUGAGGCUGAGGGAAGCAGAGGGCACAGACCUGGGUCCUGCAGGCGGUGGCUCCACCUAAGAGCACAACCCUGCCAGAGGCAGGAUGCCCAGAAUGGGCGGGGCUCCCUGCUGCACCCAGCCCGCCCCGACCCUUGCCGCCCAGACGUGGCUUCGGCCUUGCGCUGGCUCCUGGGGUAGCGGAUGGGGAACCCCCUGAGAUGGGGGCCCAGGCUUCCCCACCUUGGGGUCCAGGGACUGCCCUCUCAGGGGCGGACUCAGUCCCCAAUCUGGAAGUUGUCUUGGCAUAAGAGUGUUCUGGCAUGCUCCUGUCGUCGUCCCCUUAACAGGAGUGUUUCCGGACCAAACUGAGGGUGGGGCUGCUUAUUCUCGCGGCCCAAUAACGAGAUGCAGAUGAACGGGGAAAGGAAGGAGUUGAUUUCUGUAACCGGGUGCAGGGAGAAGGCCUGGAAAUUAUCCCCAGACCAACUCAAAAUUACAAAGUUUUCCAGAGAUUAUGUACCUUCUAAGCUAUAUGUCUACGUCUGAGUGUGUAUUCAUCUAAAGACAUAAGUGAUUAACUUCUUUCUUUCUUUCUUUUUUUUUUUUGGAGACGGAGUUUCACUCUGUCACCCAGGCUGGAGUGCAGUGCACUGCAGUUCACUGCAACCUGUGCCUCCUGUGUUCAAGCAAUUCUCCUGCCUCAGCCUCCUGAGUAGCUGGGAUUACAGGCAUGCACCACCCCGCCCAGGCUAAUUUUUCUAUUUUUAGUAGAGACAGGGUUUCACCAUGUUGGUCAGGCUGGUCUCGACCUUCUGAUCUUGUGAUCCAACCACCUGGGCCUCCCAAAGUGCUGGGAUUACAG
rnacentral:lncRNA from 1 species